rnacentral:rRNA from 1 species
UACGAAGGGGGCUAGCGUUGCUCGGAAUCACUGGGCGUAAAGCGCACGUAGGCGGCUUGCUAAGUCAGGGGUGAAAUCCUGGAGCUCAACUCCAGAACUGCCUUUGAUACUGGCGAUCUUGAGUCCGGGAGAGGUGAGUGGAACUCCGAGUGUAGAGGUGAAAUUCGUAGAUAUUCGGAAGAACACCAGUGGCGAAGGCGGCUCACUGGCCCGGUACUGACGCUGAGGUGCGAAAGCGUGGGGAGCAAACAGG